CGCCCACGGACGGCCGCACCACGCUCCCUCGGCCUUCGGCGAUCGACCGCCAUCGCCUCGGCGCUCCCCCGGCCGCCGCCUGUCGAGCAAACCUGCACAGGCUCGUCCCGCUCCACCGCGCCUCUGGCCGCCUCCGGCCGCCGGCCAGCGCAUGCCCGGGCCCCCCUUUGACCGGCCAUAACCCUCACCUACCAGCGCGUCUGCCGUCCGGCCGCCGCCGGCCAUCACGU
rnacentral:lncRNA from 1 species